rnacentral:rRNA from 1 species
UUUAACUGAGCGUUCAGUUACUUGACGUAGACCCGAAACCGGGCGACCUACCCAUGAGCAGGAUGAAGCGAAAGUAAAAUUUCGUGGAGGUCCGAACCCACGAGCGUUGAAAAGCUCGGGGAUGACUUGUGGGUAGCGGUGAAAUUCCAAUCGAGCCCGGAGAUAGCUGGUUCUCCCCGAAAUAGCUUUAGGGCUAGCCUCAAGGUGAGAGAUACGGAGGUAGAGCACUGAAUGUCCUAGGGGGUAUUGCACCUACCGAAGACUAUCAAACUCCGAAUGCCGUCAUCUUAUACUUGGGAGUCAGACUGUGGGUGAUAAGAUUCAUAGUCGAAAGGGCAACAGCCCAGAUCGUCAGCUAAGGUCCCUAAAUGUAAGUUAAGUGGUAAAGGAUGUGGGAUUGCACAGACAACCAGGAUGUUGGCUUAGAAGCAGCCACUCAUUCAAAGAGUGCGUAAUAGCUCACUGGUCGAGUGAUCCUGCGCCGAAGAUUUCCGGGGCUAAAACUUACUACCGAAGCUACGGCAUCAUUAUGAUGGGUAGGGGAGCUUCCCAUACGGGUUGAAGCAUGACCGUAAGGACAUGUGGACAGUAUGGGAGUGAGAAUGUUGGCAUGAGUAGCGAGAUGUGGGUGAGAAUCCCACAGGCCGUAAACCCAAGGUUUCCAGGGGAAGGUUCGUCCGCCCUGGGUUAGUCGGGACCUAAGCUGAGGCCGAAAGGCGUAGGUGAUGGACAACAGGUUGAUAUUCCUGUACUACCGAUAACCGUUUGAGAGAUGGGAUGACACAGUAGGAUAAGCUAAGCACACUGUUGGUUAUGUGUGCCCAAGCAUUGAGGCAGUCAAAGUAGGCAAAUCCGCUUUGAUAAUGCUGGGAUGUGAUGGGUAGCGAAAUUUAGUAGCGAAGUAGCUGAUUUCACACUGUCAAGAAAAGUCUCUAUCGAGGUUAAAGGUACCCGUACCGCAAACCGACACAGGUGGGUGAGGAGAGUAUCCUAAGGCCAGCGAGAGAACUGUUGUUAAGGAACUCGGCAAAAUGACCCCGUAACUUAGGGAUAAGGGGUGCCACCAUCAGGUGGCCGCAGAGAAUAGGCCCAAGCGACUGUUUACCAAAAACAUAGGUUUCUGCUAAGUCGCAAGACGAUGUAUAGGAGCUGACGCCUGCCCGGUGCUGGAAGGUUAAGGGGAUCUGUUAGAG